GCCGACAUAGCUCAGUGGUAGAGCAACGCUUUUGUAAAGCGAAGGUCGCGAGUUCAAAUCCCGCUGUCGGCU
rfam:Microgenomates (Levybacteria) bacterium GW2011_GWB1_37_8 TS59_C0026, whole genome shotgun sequence.